CCUAAGUCGCUUAGGUGACCUAUUGCAGUUGGUCUUUGUCCGUCGUCAUGUGGUGUGCUUCGUGUGUUGUGCAUUAACAAUUUUACAUUAAUUUUUUAAUUUCUUGAAAAUACAUUGCCAAUUGUUACCAUUUUUGGUGUGAAUAAUCUCUAUUGUAAGAGGAAUCUAAAUUUUGAAAUUCAUGGCUCUACCACCCUGGGGGGCCACAGGCAGGGCAAAAUAUGCAAAAAAAGCCAAAUUUUCAAAAAUAUUGUUCUCUACUCCCACACAUGUGAGGAAAACACUGAAUGCAUGAUUAUGAUGUCCAUGAAUCCCUUUGCUAAAAUUUUGAAAUUCAUGGCCCCUGGGUCAAGGGUUCAAGCCCUAGGGCUUCACUUUAGGUCCUACACUUUAUUAUGACAUUAAUUAAGUUUUUAGCUUAAAUAUAGGUUUUAUAGUCAUUUGUGAAAGAUUUCAGGAAGGAAGGUGGUUGAUAUUACACUAUUAAGGUGGAAGGCUACAUCGUCACAACAUGUCUGACUUCCGUUCGAAACGCCAUUGUGUUCCGGAUUGAUAACAUUAUGUCGUGGUACAAAAUAGCUAUACACCGAUUAAUUGAACUCUUCUAACUAAGGAGAUGAGAUAGGAAUGAAUCACCAAAACGCUUAGAAAAUGUGUCAAUUUUCUUUCUGUUUAAAGCUUUUAACUAACAUUGAUUAUCAGCUGUUUUGUACGGAAAACGUGGAAUCUAAAUAAUAUACCGUUUCCCUGCUCUGCUGCUAUUGGCAAUACAUUUUUGUCAUGUCAUCUGCAACAGACGAUCAUACAUAUGUGGCGGAUUAUCGAUAUAGAUACAGCUAGGUAGCCAUAGCAGUGGAAGCCCGGAUUUGCAAGCCAAAUGAGGGAAAGACAGAAUUCUGAAAAGGAGCAUGUUUUUCAUUUCCACACAUGCAUGUGUAUCACUAUGGACAUCUAAUGUUUUUGUGGGAUUUUGUCCAGCAGUUUGCCUUAAAAGAAUUUUUUUAUAUUUUAGUUUCAGAUUUAUGUGGAUUCCAAUAAAAAUCAUACAAACUUCAUUCAUGAUUUUUUUGUUUUUCAUUUCUAAACUUAAUAACAUUUCACUUUCAUAAGAAUUUUAAAACAGAAGUGUUUAAAAAUUUGAUAAAUAAGGGGUUAUCUGGAACCAGACUGAUAUUUUAAAAAUUCUCUAGAAAAUAGUGUAUUGUAUUUUGAGGUCUAUUAUUGUUGAAUACUGUGCCUAGUAUUGGUAACAAAUGCAUGCAACAAAAAUCUCCUACACUUAUUUGGUGUAGAGAUCCACCUUAAUAUAAUUUUUCUACUCCAAAAUGAAACUCAAAUUAAAUGCAUAUAAUUAUGUUGAUUGAGCCUCUUUGACAAGUUUGUAUAUGGGCUAAGGUACACAGGUGACCGUUGAGGCCAAUUCGCCUCUUGUUUUAUUAAUUAGCUCAUCUGAGAAGAAAGAUGUCAUAUUGUCAGAGCUAUUGUUGUUUCUGCCACUAACUUUCUACUAUCCAAUGUCAAUUAUAAUGGGGAAUAUCAUUUAAAUCAUUAAAAAGUAUUUUGAAUUUUAAAGCAUUAUUAACUUUUUAGCUCACCAAGAGGAAGUUGGGGUGAGGUUAAACUUUACCCCCGAUGUGGGCAUCGGCGUCCGGACCUAGUUGAGGUUUUUGUUGCAGGUCCUUUAUCUAAGUUAUUACUUGCAUUAUCUUCACCAAACUUGCAUGGAUGAUGCUUCUGAACCUACUUAUGAACUUGAAAGAGUUAGAUGCUGAAUUUGGGUGAUGAAUUUCAGAUGCUGGAGAAGGUUUAGGUUUUUGGAGCAGGUUAAAGUUUUUGAUACAGGUGCCCUUUGAUAGCCGUUCCUAAAUUACUACUGGUCCUAAUAACAUCACCAAACUUGCAUGGAUGGUGCAUCUUAUGAUACUGAUACACUUGACAGGCUUGAAUGUUGAAUUUGAGCCAUAGGUUUCAGAUGCUGAUUGAAGUGAAUGUUUUUAAAGCUGGUUGAAGGUUUUGGUGCAGGUGCCCUCUGAUGAUUAUAUUUUAGUUAUUACUGGUCCUAACUUCACCAAACUUGCAUAGAUUCUAAUGAAUCUGAUUCACUCCACAGAUAAGGAUGCUGAAUUAGAGCCUUAGGUUUCAGAUGCAGGAGGAGGUUUAGUUUCUUGGAACUGGUCACAUGUUUAAUAGAUAAUAGUACUAUUAUGAUACACUAUCAAACAAAACAUUAUCAUAUAAUACAAUAUCAUGGUAUUAUAUCUUACUAUUACUUAUUAGGUUAGUUACUGACUCACUAUGGAAAUAUAUUG